rnacentral:rRNA from 1 species
GAGUUUGAUCCUGGCUCAGGAUGAACGCUGGCGGCGUGCUUAACACAUGCAAGUCGAGCGAAGCAUUAAAACAGAUUUCUUCGGAUUGAAGUUCUAAUGACUGAGCGGCGGACGGGUGAGUAACGCGUGGGUGACCUGCCUCAUACAGGGGGAUAACAGACAGAAAUGUCUGCUAAUACCGCAUAAGCGCACAGUGCUGCAUGGCACCGUGUGAAAAACUCCGGUGGUAUGAGAUGGACCCGCGUCUGAUUAGCUAGUUGGUAAGGUAACGGCUUACCAAGGCGACGAUCAGUAGCCGGCCUGAGAGGGUGAACGGCCACAUUGGGACUGAGACACGGCCCAAACUCCUACGGGAGGCAGCAGUGGGGAAUAUUGCACAAUGGGGGAAACCCUGAUGCAGCGACGCCGCGUGAAGGAAGAAGUAUUUCGGUAUGUAAACUUCUAUCAGCAGGGAAGAAAAUGACGGUACCUGACUAAGAAGCCCCGGCUAACUACGUGCCAGCAGCCGCGGUAAUAC